UGCCCAUUGGCCCAGUGGUUAAGGCGUCUGACUGUUAUCGUCGCACAGUAACAUCAGAAGGUCCCUGGUUCGACCCCAGGAUGGGCAG
rnacentral:tRNA from 1 species